GCUCCUAGGGUUUUUCCGCACCGGAGGAGGAAAAAAGCAGCAGCCACAAACAACAAGAGCAGCCAUGGUUCUCAAGACGGAGCUCUGCCGUUUUAGUGGUGCCAAGAUAUACCCUGGGAAAGGCAUCAGAUUUGUUCGUUCUGAUUCUCAGGUGUUCUUGUUUGCAAAUUCCAAA